UAAUCCAGAAAUGCAUCGAAGCAUUAUUGGGAGCCUGCAAUAUCUAUGCAUCACACGACCAGACAUAAGUUUUGCUAUGCACAAGGUUUCCCAAUUUCUACAUAAACUGAAUGAGACACAUUGGGUGGCAGUGAAAAGAAUCUUAAGAUAUCUUAAAGCUACUUAGUAUCUUGGCCUCCAUAUUAAACCUUCGCCGUCCAACAAUGUUCAUGUUUAUGCCGAUGCAGAUUGGGCAAGUAACAUAGAUGAUCGCAAGUCUACCACUGGCUACACUGUAUUUUUAGGCCACAAUUUAAUUUCAAGGAGCAUAAAGAAAUUAACAA
rnacentral:misc_RNA from 1 species